rnacentral:rRNA from 1 species
GAUGAACGCUGGCGGCGUGCCUAAUACAUGCAAGUCGAGCGAACGGACGAGAAGCUUGCUUCUCUGAUGUUAGCGGCGGACGGGUGAGUAACACGUGGAUAACCUACCUAUAAGACUGGGAUAACUUCGGGAAACCGGAGCUAAUACCGGAUAAUAUUUUGAACCGCAUGGUUCAAAAGUGAAAGACGGUCUUGCUGUCACUUAUAGAUGGAUCCGCGCUGCAUUAGCUAGUUGGUAAGGUAACGGCGUACCAAGGCAACGAUGCAUAGCCGACCUGAGAGGACGACCAGCCACAGUGGGACUGAGACACGGCCCAGACUCCUACGGGAGGCCGCAGUGGGGAAUUUUGGUAAAUGGGGGCAACCCUGAACGAGACAUGACGCGUGAGGGAAGAAGGCCUUCGGGUUGUAAAACGCUUUUGUGCGGGAAGAAAACCUCUGGGCUAAUACCCCGGGGGGAUGACGGUACCGGAAGAAUAAGCACCGGCUAACUACGUG